rnacentral:lncRNA from 1 species
UUUAUUUAUCAUAUUAUCAUUUAAAUAUGUAAUAAUCGAAUAAUACCUAUAUAUAAAUUGAAUAAUACAUAUGCAUAAAUUGAAUAAUACAUAUACAUAAAUUGAAUAAUACAUAUAUAUAUAAAUUGAAUGAAAUAUAUACAUAAAUCGAAUAACAUAUAUAUAUAUAUAUAUAUAUAUAUAUAUAUAUAUUUAAAACAUUGUAUUGUGUUUUGUGAAAAACUUGUGCAUGUUGUCAUUGAUUAAGCGAUAAUUUUUUGUGUAUAUAUUUAAAACAUUGUAUUGUGGUUUGUGAAAAACUUGUGCAUGUUGUCAUUGAUUAAGUGAUAAUUUUUUGUGUAUAUAUUUAAAACAUUGUAUUGUGUUUUGUGAAAAACUUGUGCAUGUUGUCAUUGAUUAAGUGAUAAUUUUUUGUGCCUGUAUAACACAUAUUUUAAAACAAAAAAAAAAAAAAUUUUUAAUAUUAUACACUUUUAUUUAAUAUAUUUAUAAAUUUAAAAGAAAAUACCAUUUAAGAAAAUGGCAGAAAGAGAUAUGUUGGGAUAUGAAAAUAGAUCACUGAGUUUAAGUGAUACGGACAAUGCCAGUAAUAACGAAUCCAUCUUACAAUCAUUUGGAGAAACUCAUAUAAGGUCACAUCUUAAUAAUACGAGUAGUGAUACAGAUGGCUCAUUAGCGCUAAAUUUUAUCGUAUACUUUGUAGUUUUCAUUGUUUGUUUGUAUAUUUUUCUUUUUUGUUUAAACGUGAUAAAAAAAAAUUUUAGAUCAAGAGAGACGUCAUGGCUAUGGUAUGCAUGUUCUAUUUAAUAGACUCGCUGGACAAAACGGAGCCGGUGGGGUAAAUGUUCCACUACUCACAGAGAAUUUUUAUGAUCGUCAUAGAGGAUAAUAAAAUGAACAGUUCUAAUAAAUACA